rnacentral:lncRNA from 1 species
GAGUCUUCCCAGGGACCCUCACUGAAAUGAAAGGUAGAAGGACAGUGAGUUUUAGAGAAAUUUGUGAAGACAGAAAGUCAGACAGGGGCCAGAUCAGCCAUUCACUAGAGAAAAGGGGCUUUAGAGAAGAUACAAUUUGUUAUAGGAAAAGAUUUUAAACUUUUGAAACAAACGCUGUUCAGUUUCAGAUCAAUUAAGAGAUUAAAAAAAAAAAACAGUUUUCUGCACUGUGUGCCAGUUUCAGAUAUUUCGUGGUUCCUGAGAUCAGGGAAGUCAGCAGUGAACGUGAAGAAAAGAAUUAAGCCUUGCUGUUGCUUAGACACCUAAGGGAUUACAGGUGAUGGACUGGCCCAGCGGCAGCUGAAACAUGAGGGAGAAGAGGGAGGAGGAUACUGCACGGCAAAGAGCAUUCAGUCCUGUACCAGGAGGAGUGAAUGAACAGCUGUAGUCUUCUUAAUUUCCACCCUCAAACUUUCAGCCUCUGUCCACUCCCAAUGAGUCUGUCCUGGGGAACAGAGAAUCCACGAGCAGCUUUCAAGCAAGAAGAAAAAUCACAUUACUUUACCCUGUGUUAAAAUAAUUUCCAGGCUCUGAAGCAGCUAAUAUGAUAGCUGUGUGGAUCAAAUGCAGACAAAGACAGGAAGAUCCCAACAGCAGGAGAUAUUUGUGGUACUUUCAGUGAGAAAAAUAAUGAAAACAUUCUCACAAAUAAAAA